UCACAGAUUCAUAAGGCAGCCAAGUGAUCACUGGUUAAAAUAUGCACACGAAAUUUCUCUUCAGUCCCAACCAAUAUUUUCCUCCAAACAUUUUUCUCUUUCAUUUGACACAGUAAAUCUUUCAUCCUGCUGUUUUUGUCACAAGUAGUGUAAAAAAAAAAACCAAGUAAAUUGUAAAUUAGGAGAGCUAAGACAUGUCUUCCUUUUCUAUUUUCCAUACCAACACAAAUCCAUGACUGCCCAUUUGGAUCAUAAGGGGAAUGGAAGUUGGACUCAUACUGGAAGUAUGGAAUGGUACAUUCUAAUAAACAAAGAAAGUGCAACAGCCAGAACCACUAUGCAAUACUGUUCCAAAUGAAGUGGAGAAGUGCUGUUAAAUCUGUAUGUCUAGGAGGUGUGGCGUGUUUAGCGACUUGAUGUCUGUGUUAUCCAGCACACUGACUUUUCAGAGUCGUCUCCACGUUGUAAUGAGCAACCUCUAUCCUGCUACCAGAGCCCAGAGAGAAAUAAACCAAGACCACCAGCUAAGACAUUAUGUAAUUGCCAUGGAUAUGAGCAAUGAAUGACCUCAGGUACUGUAUUGAGAUGAAAAGAUUUAGCCAAAACCAAAAAAAGUGCAUGUAAAAAGGAUUUGUUAGUUAGAUUGUGCCUCCAAAUCUCUUCUGAAGGGGCUUGUACAAAACAGAGCAUUCCCUGAACAUUGAACCACUGUGGUUUAACUGGGCGUAACUGGGUUUCAAGAUUCAAGAUACUGCUCAGAUUAUUCUGCAAUAAACUCUUCUGAUUGCCAGCAGGAGGGAGCCCAUGGAUGCCAAACUAACCCCAUCUCUUCAGCCAGCUGGGCUAUCACA